rnacentral:other from 1 species
AGGUGCCUGGAAUGUUGUCGCCUUUCAUUUUGAACCUUCAUGACUUAAACGGGAGUCCGCGUCAAUGUGGAAUACGGUACCACCCCCGAGUCUAGGCUUGUUGGGGAAAACCCAAGACCACUGCAGGGCACCCACCUGGCGUUUAGCUAGGUGUCAAAAGAGGGGUGCGGCAUUUCAGGUAUUUU